GUCUAUUAUGGGAUUAUUAAUAGUCUAGCCUGCUCAGUGAUGGAUAUUAAAUAGCCGCGGUAUCUUGACCGUGCAAAGGUAGCAUAAUCAUUAGUUCUUUAAUUGAGAACUCGUAUGAAUGGUUGGACAAGGAAGAAACUGUCUCUAUUAUUAGAAUUGAAUUUAACUUUUAAGUGAGAAGGCUUAAAUUUUCCAGGGGGACGAUAAGACCCUAUAAAGCUUUAUAAGUUUAUGGAUUUUAUAGAUUUAGAAUAAAGAUAAUUUCCUGAAUAUUUAUUUGGUUGGGGCGACAAAAGUAUAAUUUAAAUAACUGCUAGUUGAAGAUUACAGUGAUUUUUGAUUCUAAAAUAAUGGAUCCCUUAUAAGGAUUAAAAAAUCAAGUUACUUUAGGGAUAACAGCGUUAUCUUUCCUGAGAGUACUUAUCGAAGGAAAGGUUUGCGACCUCGAUGUUGAAUUAAAAUGUCUUUAUAGUGCAGGAGCUAUAUGAGAAGGUCUGUUCGACCUUUAAUAUUUUACAUGAUUUGAGUUCAGACCG
rnacentral:rRNA from 1 species